rnacentral:tRNA from 1 species
GCUGACGUAGCUCAGUUGGUAGAGCAGCUGCCUUGUAAGCAGCAGGUCGCGGGUUCGAGUCCCGCCGUCAGCU